UACGUAGGGUGCGAGCGUUGUCCGGAAUCACUGGGCGUAAAGGGCGCGUAGGCGGCCUGAUAAGUAGGGGGUGAAAUCCUGCGGCUUAACCGCAGGGCUGCCUUCUAAACUGUCAGGCUAGAGCACGGUAGAGGCAGAUGGAAUUCCCGGUGUAGCGGUGGAAUGCGUAGAGAUCGGGAAGAACAUCAGUGGCGAAGGCGGUCUGCUGGGCCGUUGCUGACGCUGAGGCGCGACAGCGUGGGGGAGCAAACAGG
rnacentral:rRNA from 1 species